CGAGGACCGUGCAUGCUCAGCCCAGCCUGCAAACCGAGAGGCCCAGCAGCUGUGCCCGCUACGCGCUGGCUCCAAACUCGGGGGGGGGCAGCAACCGCCAGCCCUGCUUGACCGGAUGGAAACCGAGGUCCCCAGAGAGCCCUCUGCCGUCCCCUCCCGCGGAGGCAGUCAGUUCAGCAAAGGGUGUGCUCCGGGCCAGCCCCACUGACCGCAGGAAAAGAGGACACGCAGCACUCGGCAGCUCAGCUCCAUCCAACCCUGCAGCUGACUGGCCUUGGACAACAUGCCCUGGUUUUUGAAUGGAGACCCCGAUCUUCUCUCCUCCCCUGGGACUUGCUGCUGUGACACCGGCCGCUGUGGCACACACCCUGGACUGCGGCUGCCCUAGGGCAUGCCUUAGCACUCCAUCCUUCCUGGGGAGGCGGAGGGCAGCUUCCGGGGCCUGUCCUCCCUACGUCCUGACGUGUCCCAGGCAGAAAUGCAAGGCCUGAUGCCCCCCCUCGCACUGAGAGAGGAAGGCAGCCGGAGCCCAGCGGGCCUCACUCCCCGCCUCCAGGUGUGCCUCCCACCCUGGGGCUGCGGGUGCGGGGGCCUGAGCUGCUCUAUUCCGAGAGGCAGCAGCCACAGCCCAGGUGCCACAGGCUCCCCAGGCUGCACGGAGGAGAAAAAGGGACAGGACACUGACAUCUCUCAGCUGGGAGGAUGGCUCGGUCCCUUUGGCCAGAAGGAACUGCCGGCCAGUCAGGGACACUGAUGACCUGUCAGGAGUAAUUAGAAUCCAAAUGAUCCCCCUCCUCCUCGUCCCUCCCAAUCCUGAACCCUAGCCCCCUUCCAGGCGCAGCAGCCCACACCCCAGCUCCUCCACUGAAUCCUGUUAACUACUGUCUCCUGCUGCACACGUCCUGGAGGUCAGAGGGCAGCCCUCCCUCCCCCACCCCCGGGCAGGGUUACUUCCCACCAGACUUUCAGCAGCGCCCCCACAAUAAAGAACAGGUGUGCAGGGGUGUCGUCCUUAGCCUCCGUCCCCCCAGGGGUGGCGUGGUGGAGUCCCUGGCCAAUGCCCAGCUACAAGCAGCCUGGAUGUGUGCCAUCCCAACGGCAGGGGAGCCGGGCUCUGCUGAGGUCAUUCACCCUCCACUCUGAAGGCCUGUGAGUUUCUGUUGAACUCAAGCCCGUCUCCCUGCUCAUCCAGCCUCAGAGCACCGACUCUCUGACGCCCCACAGCCGGCCGCGGCUCGGCUGCUCCCCUCGUAAGAGGCGUUCCACUCCUCACUACAUCCCUAAAGGUUUUGGCUAACUCAGACACUACAGAACCCACAGGGUCCUCAGUGAGCUGCUGGACGUGAACUCUCACCGGCUUCUCCGGGCACCUAUGACACAGGAAUCAUUGUUCCCAUUUCACACACACGGGAAAACCGAGCCAGGGGUUAGAGACUGGCCGCAGGUCACACAAGUGGUAAAGAGCCCAGUUCGCGCCCUGUGUCUUUAACCACAUUCACCCAGCUCUGCCCCGGCGCCUCCGCCAGGCGCUGUGCUUUAACUCAUCACUGAUAUCCUCUCCACGGUGGGCCUCAUCAUCCCCAUCUUACUGAAAUCAAUGGACCCGUUCAAGGUCACAUGGCAAAUAAAGAUAGAGGUGGGUUCAGUCUCAGGUCUGCCUGCCUCCAGAGCCUUAGACAUGGUCGGCAAACUCAUAAGUCAACAGAGCCAAAUAUCAACAGUACAACUGGA